ACGAACGCUGGCGGCGCGCCUAACCCAUGCAAGUCGAACGAGCGAGAGAGAGCUUGCUUUCUCAAGCGAGUGGCGAACGGGUGAGUAACGCGUGAGGAACCUGCCUCAAAGAGGGGGACAACAGUGGGAAACGACUGCUAAUACCGCAUAAGCCCACAGGUCGGCAUCGACCAGAGGGAAAAGGAGCAAUCCGCUUUGAGAUGGCCUCGCGUCCGAUUAGCUAGUUGGUGAGGUAACGGCCCACCAAGGCAACGAUCGGUAGCCGGACUGAGAGGUUGAACGGCCACAUUGGGACCGAGACACGGCCCAGACUCCUACGGGAGGCAGCAGUGGGGAAUAUUGCACAAUGGGGGAAACCCUGAUGCAGCGACGCCGCGUGGAGGGAGAAGGUCUUCGGAUUGUAAACUCCUGUUGUUGAGGAAGAUAAUGACGGUACUCAACAAGGAAGUGACGGCUAACUACGUG
rnacentral:rRNA from 1 species